GAUGAACGCUGGCGGCGUGCUUAACACAUGCAAGUCGAACGAAACACCUUAUUUGAUUUUCUUCGGAACUGAAGAUUUGGUGAUUGAGUGGCGGACGGGUGAGUAACGCGUGGGUAACCUGCCCUGUACAGGGGGAUAACAGUCAGAAAUGACUGCUAAUACCGCAUAAGACCACAGCACCGCAUGGUGCAGGGGUAAAAACUCCGGUGGUACAGGAUGGACCCGCGUCUGAUUAGCUGGUUGGUGAGGUAACGGCUCACCAAGGCGACGAUCAGUAGCCGGCUCUGGAGAGUGAACAGCCACGUUGGUACUGGGACUCAGCCCUAUCUCCUACGGGCGGCAGCAGUGGGGAAUAUUGCACAGUGGGUGAAACCGUGAUGCAGCCAUGCCGCGUUAGUGAUGAAGUAUUUCUGUAUGUAAAGCGCUAUCAGCAGUGAAGAAAAUGACGGUACCUGACUAAGAAGCCCCGGCUAACUACGUG
rnacentral:rRNA from 1 species